AUAACUUUGCGGCGCUUUGGUGAUGUAACGAACAUCCUGUUUGCUACAUAAAAGGGAAUCUGGUGAGAGUCCGGAACAGUGCCCGCUACUGUAAUCCCCUGCCUUACAGGGCAUAACCUGAAGAGCUUACUCGCUCACAUGCCACUGUUUCUUAUUGCAUAAUGAAACGGGAAGGCGCUCUUCAAGGGGAAAGUCAGGAAACCUGCCAGGCAACAUAAUGAAUA
rnacentral:ncRNA from 2 species